rnacentral:rRNA from 1 species
AAGCGCUCAUGACCAGACUUGGGCUUGGUUGAUCAUCCAGGGUUCUCCCUGGUGCACUCUUCCAGCCCAGGCCAGCAUCAGUUCGCUGUGGGGGAUAAAGGCUUUGGGAAUGUGGCUCCUCCGGGAGUGUUAUAGCCCGUCGUGUCAUACCGCCAGCGGCGACCGAGGACCGCGCUUUUGCAAGGAUGCUGGCCUAAUGGU